rnacentral:rRNA from 1 species
UACGGGGGGGCAAGGCGUGUUCGGAAUUACUGGGCGUAAAGGGCUCGUAGGCGGCCAACUAAGUCAGACGUGAAAAUCCCUACGGCUUAAGCCGGGAACCUGCGUCUGUAUACUGGAUGGCUGGAGUUUGGGAGAGGGAUGCGGAAUUCCAGGUGUAGCGGUAGAAAUGCGCAGAUAUCAGGAGGAACACCGGUGGCGAAGGCGGGUCUCUGGGCCGAUACUGACGCUGAGGAGCGGAAAGCAUGGGGAGCGAACAGG